GGACUACCGGGGUUUCUAAUCCUGUUUGCUCCCCACGCUUUCGCGUCUCAGCGUCACCACAAGUCCAGCGAGUCGCCUUCGCCACUGGUGUUCCUACGAAUAUCUACGAAUUUCACCUCUACACUCGUAAUUCCACUCGCCUCUACUUGGGUCCAGAUCGCCAGUAUCGAAGGCAGUUCCAGAGUUGAGCUCUGGGCUUUCACCCCCGACUUAACGGUCCGCCUACACGCGCUUUACGCCCAGUAAUUCCGAACAACGCUAGCCCCCUUCGUAUUACCGCGGCGGCUGGCAC
rnacentral:rRNA from 1 species